GAUAAGAAGAAGAUGUAGAAAAAUUCAUGUAUUCUUGAAAGUGUUUGCGAAAAUCAGACAACAUAUAUUUUUAUCGGUGGCUUCGCCUUACGUUGCAUAUCAAGCGGUCUACUCAAUUGCAAUCCUCUAUCCAUUCUGUACCACUGUACCAUGUUCGACACUAGUGAUUAUGUGCGACUUUCGAGAAAGAAAUAAUAUAACGUUUGCUACGCCGAACAGCAGUGAUGAAUAGACAUUGCACUGCCUUUCCAAUUAUCUGCUGGUGGAUACAAGCGCUUUAGCAUCGAUACCGUACUAAGCGGCCUGCAAUACUUACAUCCGUGGUGAUGUAAAACGGUGGUGUGGAAAAAGCAAUGGAUAAAAGCAAAUCACCUGUACGCCGUGCGAAACGUCAAUCUAAAGUGGUGGAAGAGAAUUUUUGGGACUGCAGCGUCUGUACUUAUCGCAAUACUGCUGAAGCUUUCAAGUGUUUAAUGUGCGACGUGAGAAAAGUUUACUCCGUUCCAGGGACUUCCACGCGAAAGCCGCGAUUGAACUCUGCACUUGCGGCGCAACAAGCGGCAACGCAAGCCUUUCCUGGAGCGUCCGGCGGGUCGCAGGCCGGAUCGAACGUGAAAUCGCCGGGCGGCACAAAAGCACUGCGGAGCAAAGGCAAACGAUCGAAGCAUCCUGCACGGUUAAAAAACAUUGACCGUUCCAGCGGACAAACGCGUGAAGUGACAGUCAAUUCGGUUACGGUGGUCAUUACCGAAUAUAAACCAAAGCCCUCCGUUAGCCGGCAUGACUCAAGUGAAAGUUUUAGUGAGAGUAAUGAUUCUAGAAGUUAGACUUCCUUCUGUUAUACCUCGGGCUGCUUUCUUAGGUAAUCAUUGCAGAUAAGAUGUUAAUCUCUGCACGUAAUGUAAACAUUUAAGUUAGCAACAUUUCGGUAUGUUCUGAAUCUUUAGAACUGAAUUGCCAAUGGUUAACAUUAUAUCCAUAAACAUUUACUCAUGACUUUUUUUUAAUUAUUUGUUUCAGACAUUUUUUUUAAACGUACAGAUUCUGUUUCGUUUUAAACACCUUCAAGUUCUUAUUAAGUAUUGGUCAGUUAGUAAUGCUCCUUUCCCGAUAAGCGUAAAACCCACAACACAAAAUGUCGCAAAACAAGAGCAUUGACAGGAACACAAAACUGGCAUUCUUGAAUUAUAUUUAAGAUAAAUAGUAAGAUACUACAGCAAAUCAUGAUUUGUUUUACUUGCUGUUACAAAAUUCAAACCUAAGAUCUUCAUUAACACUUCCUCUGUAAACGAUGUCUUACAGAAACAUGUUUGAUCCAGGCAACGAAUAAUGGCGACGUUUAACAAAUGUGCAUCUUAUAAUAACGAAUAAGAUGCUCUUUAUAUGAAAAUCAAGCAAAUAUUAUUUAAACUUGUAAUGUAAUGUGGUAAUUACCGAAGGUGGUGCAUGAUUUUUUUUACACAGAAUUUAAAGCAAAUACACAAUGCGUAUGUUUGCUUGUAACGAAAAAAUAGUAUUGUAACAUAUUACAUACACAUCCACAAAACUGCCAGUUUCCGACUACGUAAAUAUUGCCGGCAAAAUAAAACAACAAUCUCUAGGAAGAAUGAUAUUGUAAAUGAAUGAACUUAAUAAUACGAUAAUCCAAUGACUAUAGCGUUGUUUGUGAUGGUAGCGAGAGCAGCAUAUGAAAAACUUUGUCGGAAAGAUAAAGAAGCAACUUAAUUACAGCAGCACAGAUCUGGAAAGAUUUAGCACAACAAGAUAUGCUGUGUUUAUCACAUAAGAAUCUGGUUUUAGCUAGAAAUAAACAUCAGCCUUGGUGGCUCGCUGAAGCAUGGAGUAUAUGUAGGGAAGCUAUUAAGUUGCUGUAAAUCAUUUCCUGAUUUAAAAUUUUCGGUUAAAAAAUAAAAUUUAAACUUCAACCCAAUAUGUUUUGAAUUCAUGCUUGUAUUGUAUGUUCAACUGAUUUUCUUUACAAAAAAGCUCCCGUAACUCAAAAUUGUAGUCAGUUACUAGACUGGCUGACAAUAUACAGUAGAGAAAAUAAAGAAAUAGUUAAAACUCACCUUUUCCAUUUUAUCUUUUUUAUGUAGAAACACCACAAGGAUACAUUUUUAUCGAAUAUUUAAGCUUCAUAAGUAUAAGCAAGCUCAUCGUUGACAGAGUAUUGAUUGAACGUUCAAUACUCUCAUUUCACAUUUCACUGAGAUUCAACGGGUGGUCUGCCAACCGUAAAGGUUGAUUUAUUUUUAAGUGACUAAUGGAAUUGGAUGGAAUAUAUUUGUGCGAGAAACAGAAUUUCCCGAAUGUUCGUUAUCCGAAUGCUUCCAGUUUAAAGAAAACAUUAAAUUCGGCAUGCAUACUAAACGCAACCGCACGUCAUAAUUGCACCGUAACGUCCGAAUUCAAAAUUUGCAGCCGCAGCACAGCUUGAACCAAACACUAUAAACCUUGGUAUAACCAUAGAAACUAUAGUUUUUCGGAUUAUCCGGGGUGUUCAUACAGCCGGUAUUUUCCCUUUUCGCAUGUGCGUGGGUGAAGAAAGCAUCGCCGUCGCUACAUAUUCUGUAUUAGCGUCAAAUGCGUGUACGAUAUGUAAAAUGUUUACAGUCAUUAUCAAAUCUCGGGGAGCUUCUGUAAAUAAUAAUUCCAGAAAUCUUUUUAUUUUUAUUUUUGCUACCAGUAUGAAGCACGGAAUCUAAAUGUAAUCAGUAUGAAAUUCCUAUACACUGUUUAGCUCUCAGAACUAAACCAACGUCUCUCAGAAUGUAGGUACAAGCAAUGAGAACAGUACAUUUCACAAAGAAUCUGGAACAUAACGCUCACAAUAACAUAAUAGUUAAUGUGUCUUUGUCUUUCUAAAAUACAAAAAGACUUGUUAAAAGACUUAACAAAAUGAUUAUUAGUGAAGAAUGUAAAAGAGAAAUGGAAACCGAAAACAAGAGUAAACGAUAGAAAUGGAAAGGGCACGUCGAUUACGUAGGUGAACCCGGGAAAGUCGCCUUUGCCAAUCGCCCUGCAACGAUCGAGAGACGAAGACGGCCGAACGAACGAUCGCUUGGGUAGAAAACUACUGCAAAUAGCGUUCGUUUGGCGACCGCUUAACGCGUCGAGAACAAGGCUCUAAUGUCUGACGAGAAAUCCCUUUGGUUCCCCGGCGAGGAGCCAGUUGCGAUUGUCUGCUGAAACCUAAGCGAAACGUACAGAUUUGUUUAGAGCUACGGAUAUCAAAGGAAAUGCAUGCCAAGGCACAAGACAGACGAAGCAAGUGCACGAUCGCCGACGACCAAUUUUCGUUGGUCCGUUGGGCUAGUGUGGGGCUAGCUCGUUGUGUAGGGGCGCGAGCUUAACAGUGCCGUGUCCUUAAAGCCUGGCCUGGCACAACGCGAGCUCCGCAAUGCAGCAACAGCGCCGCCUGGACGACCCCGUCCCUCUGGGCAGGCUUGUUGGGCUGUGGAGGGCUUCGGAUUUGAAUACAACAAACCACCACACACUAGCGCCCGAAUGUGUCUGGACACGUACACAGAACGUGCACAGGGCCCGGUACGCACACACGCAGAAAUUUUAGCUGCCAAAGAGCUGAAGCAGGAAAGACGACAGCAGCAGCAGCAGCAGCAGCAACAGCAACAGCAACGGUGCAGAAGAGAAGAGGGCGGGCGCGCCGCGGCACCCUGCCCGGCUCCUCCUUACUUCUAUGCCGGAAACCCCCACGGACGAAAACCCGGUACUUUCUGGGCCGAACACAGCGCAGAAUCUACAUUAAAGUUCUGGAUGAGAAGAGAGCUCGAAACGCGUCGGCCUGUGCCUGUGUGAGCCUGAACCUGAAGCCCAUCAUCCCGUCGGAGGGAGCGGAACGCUCCAUGCACGCGGGAGGCUGCGUGCGUGCGACUGCGACGACGAAUGGCUCCUGUGUCCCGACGGCCGAACAACGUGAAACGUGAAGCCGGCGGAGCGCACAUAGCCCCAACACACAGGGAGCUUCCAUCUCCCUCACUCGCACGCUUCCACUCCCAGGGUUUCACGUGCAUGCGAACACGCGUAUGUAUGCUUGCGCUAGAUGGCACGGAGGAAAUGGGACGGCGAAUGCACUGGGCCAGAACGACGAAACAGCACCGCCAAAGCUCCCUGGAUCCUUGAACGGCUGGGCCAGAGAGCGAGAGUGCAGUUUCGGCAAAUGCUGGCUUUUCCAGCAGGCUGCUACAAUCUGGCUUUAAAGUGAACGCUGCUUUGGUCACUUUUUCUUACGUCGAUUGAGCAUCAAAAUUCAAACUUCAAAACAUUGCUCGACUUCACUGGAUUCAACUGGAAUAUUAUUAUCUACAUUUUCUAAAGCACCAUUAUGUUUGAAAUUCAUGGUAAAAGUAUUAGAAUGUGUUGAAUGAAUUGUAUUUUAAUUUUAUCAGCUGACUCGAAAUCAAAUAGAUUUGUAUUCAUCAAAUGGCAUAAGAUCUUUAGAAGCUUAAACAUUGAGCUUUAAAGAUUACCAAUAUAAAUUCGUCAUUUGGAUGUCCACAGUAAACACUGCGCAUUGUUAACCGUGUGCCGUCAGAAUUACAGUAUCAAGAACAAUCGCCAGAGAUCCCACUGAUCUCCGGGACGUCUGCUCUUCGCGUGUCUGAAUAAUCGUUUGCGGCACCAAAGGUUAGUCGGAACUAAAUAUUCAGUCAGUCCAAAGUGGUCAAGUGAAUCUGGCGAAUGAAACCUACGCCGUGCAACAAAUAGAUGAUGGAUUCAUUAUCAAUACUAGGUCCACAAAUCCGUAGAUCCGCAGAGGACAUUUUGAGGUGUUAAAAACGCUAUAAAUCGAGCUGGGACAUGUCAUUACAAUAUCGUGUUAACACAUUUGUGAAUUGGUUGUUGGCAAUAAUACUUUUUAGUUAUUUUUUAUGCUGUUAAGAAGCCCUGAAUCGUUCCAAGAAGAUAGCCCGUCCUGCCCAGCAAUAUCCUUAUCGGUAAAUUCGAAGGACGUAUCCUUU